GACGGGGAAGCUCAGUGGUGGAGCGGCCGGCUGAAAUCCGGUUGGACGCAGGUUCGAGCCCUGCCCCCGUCG
rnacentral:tRNA from 1 species